rnacentral:lncRNA from 12 species
AAGAAUUCUCCUUAAGCAGUGAUGUGUAUAUCUGUUGUUAACGAAAUGGACAACCAAGUCCAAUCUUCAUGAUGGCAGCAUGUCAUACAGAGUAGAAUGAAACUAAAGGAAGGUACAACCAAAUCCAUUCACCCAUCACAGCACAGUUUGGAGGUCCUACCUACUCCCUUACUUCAGCUUUAUCUGUCUGGUUUAAUUUAUGUUUCCAGAAUCAGCUUAAAUGUAUUCUCCUUAGAAAGAUCUUCUUCUACUGCAUUGUCUCAGACCUGGUGUUUCCAUGGAGGACCCUACCAACACAGGUGAGCCUUCUUGGACAGAGGUCCACAAAAGAGCACAGGUAGCCAGCACAGCCACGAAAUAG